CACACCCUGGGAACAUGCUUCCCCAAUAAGGCUGGACAUGUUAAUCAGGCAGGGGUGGAACUAGAUAGGUAAAUCUAGGGCUUUAAAAUAAACCUGCUGUGUGGCUCAGCCGCUUUUUGCCGCCUCUCCAUCAGAGAGGAUGGCGCCCACCUGGCCCCAGCUUAAAAUCUAUUUCUGCGUCUUGGUCUUUCUUUAAUUUCUUAAUCCCCAGCUCCUCCACUCAGCAAAUGGACUGUUUCCUUUUCCAUGCGGGACGUGGAAAAGAGAGAAACAGCCCCCCACAUUUGGCGCCCCCCAACAGGGACUGAGUACGGAGGCAAAAGAAGAAAGCGAGGGGGUCACUCCCAGAAGCGUGUGCACACAGAUUUAAAGGAAUAAGAAAAACAGCUCCCAGGCCAUGUGGCUUCCUGCAACAAUAGAUCCCAACUGACCAGAUUGCUCCAGCCACAAAGACAGGAGAGACAGUUCAGAGAUGGAGAUGGUGAAGACGCCUUGUCAUGAUAGCAGUCAGCACCUGUGCAUUGCUGCAGGUUGCCCAGGACCAAGAGCAAGGAAGAAGGAGCAGUGCAGCCAAUUCGGGUGCCAGAGCGUUACAUCCGUCACCACAAUGGACUCAGACAUUCACUCAAAAGGACUAAGUACUGCCCUAAUGACAGCAAAAGGGAAGAAAAAGAAAACUGAAAGAUGCAAGGGACUGUUGUGCCAAUAUGAAGUCAUCUGAAGAAGUUAACGACUGAAGUGCAACAGAUUGUGGAAAAGCAAGAAGUUGAAGCUACUUCUUCAACAUUGUUCCUGCUCAUGCUAGCAUCUGUUAGCUGCCAGUCUUCUGCAAAGUCUUGCGCAGCCAAGUCCAAGGACUCUGAGUAAAUAUACACCAGCAGCAAAAGAGACUUUUUUUCAUUUAGUAGCAAGAAUGUUAAUAUGUCCAUAGUUCUGAUUUCUCAUAUUGUUGUUUUGCAUUGGCAUUGUUUUGUUAUUAUUUAAUAGCCAGUUUUGUUCUUAACGUUCAAAUUUUGAAAAUGAUAACAUGUAUGUAGUUUAGUAUUUGCAUUGUUUGCAAUUGUUUUAAUUCUAGAGCCCUACUAUUAAUGUUUAAAAUUUUACUUUUAUUAUAGUAGCUUAAAAAACAAAAAUGGGGGAGAUGUAGAGGGCCGCCAGGGAAGCACCUAGGCAUUUUCUUAUAAUUAUUGUCAGCUGAACUCAGAGCUUAGGCAGAGCCACACCCUGGGAACAUGCUUCCCCAAUAAGGCUGGACAUGUUAAUCAGGCAGGGGUGGAACUAGAUAGGUAAAUCUAGGGCUUUAAAAUAAACCUGCUGUGUGGCUCAGCCGCUUUUUGCCGCCUCUCCAUCAGAGAGGAUGGCGCCCACCUGGCCCCAGCUUAAAAUCUA